CCUGAUUCAGACUCCUGAUGACCACAGCAGGCAGGUGCAGACCACACUGUCUGCCAAGAACAUCUUCGGGCAAACCUCAGAUUUCACGCUGGUUCACAACAGCGUGACCACUGAUUUCAGAUCAGAAACACCUGCGGGGGGCGUUAAGCCCACACUGCAUCAAUAAAACACGGGUGUGUUCUCCCAGGAGUGCCUUCCCGGGCCAGGAAGUGCUGCCGCACGCCCUUCUCACGAACCAUGUUACUGCCCAGCUCACUGAAGCAAUCCAGGCAUUGCAUGAGGUCACACGGCGAGUGACACAAGAGCCAGAGUUUGAGCCCCAGGUGGACCCACAGUGACAUCAGCUCCCAUCUCAGGGGCCUGGACACACCCCCCCUCCAGGAGCAGGUGCCUUGGGACAGCCAUUGCGUCCUCUCCACAUCUGCUGUCCUCUGCCCUUACUUCUGACAGCUCCCUCCGUGGUGGUUUCUAGCAUUGG
rnacentral:lncRNA from 1 species